AACGUAGGUGGCGAGCGUUAUCCGGAAUCACUGGGCUUAAAGGGCGCGUAGGCGGGCUGUCAAGUCUGGGGUGAAAUGCCGCGGCUCAACCGUGGAACUGCCUUAGAUACUGACGGCCUCGAGGAAGGGUAGGGGCAUGCGGAACUGUAGGUGGAGCGGUGGAAAUGCGUUGAUAUCUACAGGAACUCCGGUGGCGAAAGCGGCGUGCUGGACCUUUUCUGACGCUGAGGCGCGAAAGCUAGGGGAGCAACGGGG
rnacentral:rRNA from 1 species